CCUACGGGAGGCAGCAGUAGGGAAUCUUCCACAAUGGGCGAAAGCCUGAUGGAGCAACGCCGCGUGGGUGAAGAAGGUCUUCGGAUCGUAAAACCCUGUUGUUAGAGAAGAAAGUGCGUGAGAGUAACUGUUCACGUUUCGACGGUAUCUAACCAGAAAGCCACGGCUAACUACGUGCCAGCAGCCGCGGUAAUACGUCGGUGGCAAGCUUUAUCCGGCUUUAUUGGGCGUAAAGGGAACGCAGGCGGUUUUUUAAGUCUGAUGGGAAAGCCUUCGGCUUAACCGGAGUAGUGCAUUGGAAACGGGGGGACUUGAGUGCAGAAGAGGAGAGUGGAACUCCAUGUGUAGCGGUGAAAUGCGUAGAUAUAUGGAAGAACACCAGUGGCGAAAGCGGCUCUCUGGUCUGUAACUGACGCUGAGGUUCGAAAGCGUGGGUAGCAAACAGGAUUAGAUACCCCGGUAGUC
rnacentral:rRNA from 1 species